rnacentral:misc_RNA from 1 species
CCACAUAUAUGCCUCCCAAAUGAAGGGGAGGAAAAAAAAAGCCUCAUAAAACCUACACUUGAAAUAAUUUGUUGCUAGAUAAAGAUGACAAGAUAAACUUGGCUGGAUGAGGGGAGGGCGAGUAAUACAUUAAUGCUAAUGUUUGGGAAAUGGUGGACAAUUGGAGGAAAGAAAAAUGGUGCAGAAAAUUUAAAUAUAAAAAUUUACCAUGUUUGGGAGAGAGGGAAGUGGGGAGAAGGGAAAAUGGAAAGAAAAUAGGAUGGAAAAUACACAGGGCCACUAAAAAAUAUUUCCCAAAAUUGGAGAAAACAAAAUGGGUGGAAAUGAUUUGAAAUUACAAAUUUACCCUACAACAUUUAUCUUUUAAGACCAAGGACAAAAAUGUAAAUUCACCAUCAUAAAAUGGGAGACAACCAAAAGUAAAUUCAACAACUUUCCUUCCAUUUUCAUUUCUUCUAUAAUCCUUCCAAUCUGAAAAAUUGAAAGAGAAUAAUUCUCCUAUCCAACUUCUCAGUUCUCCCAUAUGGUUUACCUCCUCCCUAAAUUUGCUUCCAAGCAAAAGGUAAAGGAGAGUUGAACAAGAUGAUUAGUUGUGAUAAUUAAGAAUAAUGAGUGCACCAU